GAUGAACGCUGGCGGCGUGCCUAAUACAUGCAAGUCGAGCGAACGGACGAGAAGCUUGCUUCUCUGAUGUUAGCGGCGGACGGGUGAGUAACACGUGGAUAACCUACCUAUAAGACUGGGAUAACUUCGGGAAACCGGAGCUAAUACCGGAUAAUAUUUUGAACCGCAUGGUUCAAUAGUGAAAGACGGUUUUGCUGUCACUUAUAGAUGGAUCCGCGCCGCAUUAGCUAGUUGGUAAGGUAACGGCUUACCAAGGCAACGAUGCGUAGCCGACCUGAGAGGGUGAUCGGCCACACUGGAACUGAGACACGGUCCAGACUCCUACGGGAGGCAGCAGUAGGGAAUCUUCCGCAAUGGGCGAAAGCCUGACGGAGCAACGCCGCGUGAGUGAUGAAGGUCUUCGGAUCGUAAAACUCUGUUAUUAGGGAAGAACAAAUGUGUAAGUAACUAUGCACGUCUUGACGGUACCUAAUCAGAAAGCCACGGCUAACUACGUGCCAGCAGCCGCGGUAAUACGUAGGUGGCAAGCGUUAUCCGGAAUUAUUGGGCGUNAAGCGCGCGUAGCGGUUUUUUAAGUCUGAUGUGAAAGCCCACGGCUCAACCGUGGAGGGUCAUUGGAAACUGGAAAACUUGAGUGCAGAAGAGGAAAGUGGAAUUCCAUGUGUAGCGGUGAAAUGCGCAGAGAUAUGGAGGAACACCAGUGGCGAAGGCGACUUUCUGGUCUGUAACUGACGCUGAUGUGCGAAAGCGUGGGGAUCAAACAGGAUUAGAUACCCUGGUAGUCCACGCCGUAAACGAUGAGUGCUAAGUGUUAGGGGGUUUCCGCCCCUUAGUGCUGCAGCUAACGCAUUAAGCACUCCGCCUGGGGAGUACGACCGCAAGGUUGAAACUCAAAGGAAUUGACGGGGACCCGCACAAGCGGUGGAGCAUGUGGUUUAAUUCGAAGCAACGCGAAGAACCUUACCAAAUCUUGACAUCCUCUGACCCCUCUAGAGAUAGAGUUUUCCCCUUCGGGGGACAGAGUGACAGGUGGUGCAUGGUUGUCGUCAGCUCGUGUCGUGAGAUGUUGGGUUAAGUCCCGCAACGAGCGCAACCCUUAAGCUUAGUUGCCAUCAUUAAGUUGGGCACUCUAAGUUGACUGCCGGUGACAAACCGGAGGAAGGUGGGGAUGACGUCAAAUCAUCAUGCCCCUUAUGAUUUGGGCUACACACGUGCUACAAUGGACAAUACAAAGGGUAGCGAAACCGCGAGGUCAAGCAAAUCCCAUAAAGUUGUUCUCAGUUCGGAUUGUAGUCUGCAACUCGACUAUAUGAAGCUGGAAUCGCUAGUAAUCGUAGAUCAGCAUGCUACGGUGAAUACGUUCCCGGGUCU
rnacentral:rRNA from 1 species